rnacentral:rRNA from 1 species
AGGAUGAACGCUGGCGGUCUGCUUAACACAUGCAAGUCGAACGGGCGUAGCAAUACGUUAGUGGCGGACGGGUGAGUAACGCGUGAGAAUCUACCUUCAGGACGGAGACAACAGUUGGAAACGACUGCUAACCCCCGAUGUACUGAAAAGGCAAAUAUUUAUAGCCUGAAGAAGAGCUCGCGUCCGAUUAGCUAGUUGGAGAGGUAAAAGCUCACCAAGGCGACGAUCGGUAGCUGGUCUGAGAGGACGAUCAGCCACACUGGGACUGAGACACGGCCCAGACUCCUACGGGAGGCAGCAGUGGGAAUUUUCCGCAAUGGGCGAAAGCCUGACGGAGCAAGACCGCGUGGGGGAAGAAGGCUCGUUGGGUUGUAAACCACUGUCGAAGGGGAAGAUAUUGACGGUACCUUGGAGGAAGCCCGGCUAACGUACGUGCCAGCAGCCGC